GGCAGAGGGUGCAAACGUUGCUCGGAAUUACUGGGCGUAAAAGCGCGUGUAGGCGGGCUUGCAAGUCAGAUGUGAAAAUCCCCGGGCUCAACCCGGGAACUGCAUUUGAAACUGCAAGCCUUGAGUAUCGGAGAGGAAAGCGGAAUUCCUGGUGUAGAGGUGAAAUUCGUAGAUAUCAGGAGGAACACCGGUGGCGAAGGCGGCCUUCUGGACAGUAACUGACGCUGAGACGCGAAAGCGUGGGGAGCAAACAGG
rnacentral:rRNA from 1 species